CCUACGGGAGGCAGCAGUAGGGAAUCUUCCACAAUGGGCGAAAGCCUGAUGGAGCAACGCCGCGUGGGUGAAGAAGGUCUUCGGAUCGUAAAACCCUGUUGUUAGAGAAGAAAGUGCGUGAGAGUACCUGUUCACGUUUCGACGGUAUCUAACCAGAAAGCCACGGCUAACUACGUGCCAGCAGCCGCGGUAAUACGUAGGAGGCAAGCGUUAUUCGGAUUUAUUGGGCGUAAAGGGAACGCAGGCGGUCUGUUAAGUCAGAUGUGAAAGCCUUCGGCUUAACGGGAGUAGUGCAUUGGAAACUGGGAGACUGGAGUGCAGGAGAGGAGAGUGGAACUCCAUGUGUAGCGGUGAAAUGCGUAGAUAUAUGGAAGAACACCAGUGGCGAAAGCGGCUCUCUGGGCUGUAACUGACGCUGAGGUGCGAAAGCGUGGGUAGCAAACAGGAUUAGAUACCCCUGUAGUC
rnacentral:rRNA from 1 species